rnacentral:rRNA from 1 species
GCAUAAUCAUUAGCCUGCUAAUUUCAGGCUGGAAUCAAUGGCAAGACGAAGAAAAUGCUGUCUCUUUACAUUAUGUGUGAAAUUUACUUUUUGGUGAAGAGGCUAAAAUAGUUGAGCGGGACGAGAAGACCCUAUUGAGCUUUAAUUUUACUAUAAAGUAAGUUUUUAUAGAAAGGUUUUGAUUGGGGCAAUGAUUUUUUUAAUUAGACAAAUAAGGAUAAAAAAAGAAUUAAUUCUAUUAUAGACCCAGAAUGUUACUGGUAGACAGAAAAAGUUACCAUAGGGAUAACAGCGUAAUUC